UGAGGAAUAUUGGACAAUGGGCGAAAGCCUGAUCCAGCCAUGCCGCGUGUGUGAAGAAGGUCUUCGGAUUGUAAAGCACUUUAAGUUGGGAGGAAGGGCAUUAACCUAAUACGUUAGUGUUUUGACGUUACCGACAGAAUAAGCACCGGCUAACUCUGUGCCAGCAGCCGCGGUAAUACAGAGGGUGCAAGCGUUAAUCGGAAUUACUGGGCGUAAAGCGCGCGUAGGUGGUUUGUUAAGUUGGAUGUGAAAUCCCCGGGCUCAACCUGGGAACUGCAUUCAAAACUGACUGACUAGAGUAUGGUAGAGGGUGGUGGAAUUUCCUGUGUAGCGGUGAAAUGCGUAGAUAUAGGAAGGAACACCAGUGGCGAAGGCGACCACCUGGACUAAUACUGACACUGAGGUGCGAAAGCGUGGGGAGCAAACA
rnacentral:rRNA from 1 species